rnacentral:rRNA from 1 species
AUUGAACGCUGGCGGCAUGCCUUACACAUGCAAGUCGAACGGCAGCACGGGAGCAAUCCUGGUGGCGAGUGGCGAACGGGUGAAUAAUGUAUCGGAACGUACCUUUCAGUGGGGGAUAACGUAGCGAAAGUUACGCUAAUACCGCAUAUUCUGUGAGCAGGAAAGCAGGGGAUCGCAAGACCUUGCGCUGAUUGAGCGGCCGAUAUCAGAUUAGCUAGUUGGUGAGGUAAAGGCUCACCAAGGCGACGAUCUGUAGCGGGUCUGAGAGGAUGAUCCGCCACACUGGAACUGAGACACGGUCCAGACUCCUACGGGAGGCAGCAGUGGGGAAUUUUGGACAAUGGGCGCAAGCCUGAUCCAGCCAUGCCGCGUGAGUGAAGAAGGCCUC